AAUUUGUUUUUACUUUGUUCAGUUUUGAGAGGUUUACUCUCAAACACUUUUGUUCAUUGAAAACUGGAUAUUUGAAGUAAAUGUAAGUAAUACAAACCGAGAACACCGCGUUGAAUUUGAAAGCUGAACAAAUUGUUUAGCCUGAAGCAAAAUAGGCGGACGGCCAUAAAAUCUUUGAUUUUAUGAGACGAUCGAUCUUUUUGCCGUACAGGCUGAUUUGUGAGCUGGAUAGAGUUUUUUAAUAAGUUCAAUUGCUUAUUUUCUUGAUCUAACUUCUAUCGCUAGAAGAAGGAUCAAAACCCAACCGUAAGGUUGAUAAGGUUAAGUGAAUAAGGGCGCACGGUGGAUGCCUUGGCACUAGGAGCCGAUGAAGGACGGGACUAACACCGAUAUGCUUUGGGGAGCUGUACGUAAGCUAUGAUCCAGAGAUUUCCGAAUGGGGGAACCCAACAUCUUUAAUAGGAUGUUACGAUUGUGUGAAUACCUAGCACAUUCGAGGUAGACUCAGAGAACUGAA
rnacentral:misc_RNA from 1 species